rnacentral:misc_RNA from 1 species
UCAACCCUCAAGCCUGGCUUGGUGAUGGGGCACUGCUUCUUACCCAAGAAGCAGGCCCUGAAAUUCAGUGGCGAGCUCGCCAGGACCCCGAGCGCAGUAGUUAAACCCUCGCUCUGGAAGGCCCUGGCGGUGCCCUGCCGUUAAACCCCCAACUUCUGAAAAUUUGACCUCGGA